UGUCAACAUCAGAUUCAUCAGUUUCAGGACAACAGAAUAUAUAUAUAUAUAUAUAUGUAUAUAUAAAUAUAUAUACACCCUCCAGUCCCGGACAUAUAUAUACAUCUUGGCCGUUAUUUAUAAUCCAACCACGAAUAAAAGAGAAAGCCUUCACAAUUGUCCAAGAUGUGGAAAGCUGCUGCUGGUACAAACGUCAAGUUUGAGACGAAAAACGAUGACGCUGACGACGACUGGGAAACUGAUCCGGACUUUGUGAAUGAUGUGAGCGAGAAGGACCAGCGAUGGGGUUCGAAAACAGUCGCAGGAUCAGGCCACAUGGCCUCCAUCAGCUUGAACACUUUGCGAGAGGGCGUUGCUCAGGAUCAUGCCUCUAACAAGAAGAAAGAAUUUGAAGCUGGCCCUCAAGCUUCUUACGGCUAUGGAGGUAAAUUCGGGGUCCAGAAGGACCGAAUGGACAAAUCUGCUUUGGGUCAUGAACACCAAGAAAAACUUGCUGUGCACAACAGCCAAAAGGAUUUCUCAAAGGGAUUUGGAGGUAAAUUUGGAGUUCAGAAAGACCACCAAGACAAGUCGGCUGCUGAUUGGUCGUACAAAGGUCAAACAGAGAAACAUGCAUCCCAAAAAGAUUAUUCUCAAGGAUUUGGUGGGAAAUUUGGCGUUCAGUCUGAGAGUAUGGACAAAUCUGCUGUUGGAUGGGAUCACCAGGCGAAUUUAGAGAAACACGAGUCACAGAAAGAUUACAGUAAAGGUUUCGGUGGGAAAUUUGGUGUGCAGAAGGACAGGCAGGACAGUUCGGCUGUUGGCUGGGAGUACGAAGGAAAAGUUCAGAAACAUGAGUCUCAGACAGAUUAUUCAAAAGGAUUCGGCGGUAAAUUUGGUUUGCAAAAAGAUCGCCAGGAUACGAGCGCUGUUGGAUAUGAAUAUGAAGGCAAAGUCGAAAAACAUCAGUCGCAGACAGACUAUUCGCAUGGAUUUGGUGGUAAGUUUGGCGUCCAGAAGGAUCGGCGAGACAAAGCAGCCCUUAGUUACGAAGACGAGACGAAGACCGAGCUGCAUCCUUCCCAAGUCGACAUGAAUAAAGGAUUCGGAGGCAAGUUUGGCAUCCAAGACACCAUGGAUAAGACUGCCCUCAGCUACGACGCCGAGUGCAAAACCGAACUGCAUCCGUCUCAGACCGACAUGAAAAAAGGCUUUGGCGGCAAAUACGGUGUGCAGGACGUCAAGGACAAGUCGGCGCUUAGCUACGAGGACGAUACUAAAACGGAACUUCAUUCUUCGCAAACCGAUAUGAAGAAAGGCUUUGGUGGUAAAUUUGGAAUCGACAAUACGAAAGAUAAGUCCGCUGGAGGCUAUGAAGACAUGAAAGGAACUGUUGGCACCAACUAUAAAAAACCUUCGGCAGAAACCAGUGCGGUUGGAGCAAGAAACUUGCGAAGUAGGUUUGAAAAUUUUGCCAAGAAUUCUGAAGAAGAUGCUGCAAAGAAAGCACAAGAAGAGCGACAGAAACGGCUGGAAUUUGAAAGGAAAGAACACGCAGAACAAAUGAAGAUCUAUGAAGCGAAAAUGGAAAAGGAAAGAUGGGAGGCUGAGAACGCACCGGAAGAGGAAGAAGACGAAGACGAAGAAGUUCAACCGAGGAAGACGUUCGUCCCGCCGCAGUCCAAGUGCUACGUCCCCAACGAGGAGAUCACGGCCUUCAAACGGGACUCGUAUCUGAGGCAGGGGUCACGAGAGGAAGCCCCCCCGAAAUCCGCUGCAGUUUCUGCUCCCACAUCUGCCCCGAGGGACAGAGAGCGGGUAGAAGCGAAGCGGGAACCCGAGGAGGAGGAGGAAGAGCAAGAAGAGGAAGAAGAGGAGGAGGAGGAAGAGGUAAGGGUUGUGGCAAAAGAGAAGGAAGAGGAGGAGGAAGAGCAGAGGUAUGAGGAUGAUGGUGAGCUGUACGAGAAUCCAGAUGAUCUAAUUUCUUCACCGGAAGACCAGCAAACUGGAUCAGUGCAACCUGAGGGAGAAAACCUAACUGCCAUUGCUCUUUAUGACUAUGAAGCUGCUGAUGAUGAUGAAUUAUCGUUCCAACCUGAAGACAUUAUCACUGCUGUUGACAGGAUUGACGAAGGCUGGUGGAAAGGAGAGUGCCAUGGAAAGAUUGGAUUGUUUCCUGCUAACUAUGUUGAACUAAUACAGCAAUAACGCAGUCAACAACUUCUGUACACACACACUGACACACAUACACGCACACACACACACACACACACAAACAAAUUACAUACUUUUAUCAAUUAUACUCCUAAUUAGCAAUCAUGUGACUUUUUGAACCCUAAAAAAGAGCCUUCUCACAUGUAUGUAUGUGUAUAUAUAUAUAUGUAUAUAUAUAUAUAUGUAUGUAUGUAUGUCAUUGUGAACCCCUAUAUUUACAACUCCCCUAAUAGCGCUUAAACUGCCAUAUUUAAAAAAAUGGCUGAGCGAACCCUGGAAUGUCAGCCACAAAUACACUCAUGGAAGGUAGCUGUAUGUAUUGUAUCACUUGAUGGAUAGGUAGAUAGCUCCUCCGAAUAUUGCUCUUAAAUUUUUGAAGAGCCAUGGGUAGACCAGGUCAGGUUUGGUGGGGAGGGCAUUGCUGGAUUCACGAUUUGACUGUAUACUCCUGGGUCCUCCAGGGUGGCCCAUCAAGCAGAGCCCCAAUUUGUCUCUAUCCCCAGGAGAUACCACCUCAUCUGCCCUGACCAUUCGGCGUAUGCGACGACUGACUCGAGCCAUGAGCAGAACAAACUAUAUUUUGUCGGACUAACUAUUAUGGAUUAGAUAUUUCAGAUAGAUUAAUAUACUUACAUACAUAUAUAUAUAUAUAUA